GCCCAAUUGAGAGGUAAGGUUAGUUCUCCCACUCGCAACGGAAAAUAUACUACGAAAGAUAUAUAUCGUUGCCCCGAGUUACCAGCCGGUCGAGUCACGUCGUCGUUUUGACACUGACGAAUUCUUUCACGAAACGUUUACAAAGACACAACCACCGGAAAUCAAAUGAUCACACCAUGGCGCGUAGAACCAGCCUACAGGCCAUCUUGAAGCCACCGACAAGACACACACACAAUAAGCCCCGUCGUAUCAGGCACAUACGGUGUAAGAUCCUCCUAGAAGGACGGAAGACGAUCAAGUGAAUGCUCCGUAAAGUGGCGGCCAUGAUGGCGCCACUUGUCGAACCUUUCAAACUUGAACGAAAUUCGCCUUACAAUACGUUAAUUGAUUUAUUCCGAUUGAAUCCGAUAUCCUUUAUAAUAAUGCAACUUUUUUCUUAUACGAUUAUGUGAAUUAAAAGUUAGAUUUUACAACAAUGUUAUAUUUUGUUUCAAAAAAAUAUUCGAGUGGAAUCAAAUUGAUACUUCAUCGCGCGGUUGUCACGAUGGCGCCACCGAUUCAUCACGUGUACGUGUAAUUUAGAUAAUAAAUAUUUGCUUUUGUUAAUGUAUAGUUGGUUUUUAAAAAUUAAUUUAAAAAGAAAUUAUUAAUUAUUUUAUAAUUGAUAUUGUGAUUCACCAUGUCAUAUAUGGUGUUUAUAAUUUUUCUAAGAUUAAUGAAUAUAUAUUUUUUUAAUAAUUAUGACGAUAAUAACGAUAUGAUAGUUCAACAAUUGUAAAAAUUGAUCGAUUUUCAUUAAACGAUUCACACGUUUCUGAUAUCUUUCCAUGUAAUUUAAUUUGAAUUAAAUUGAAAAUCAUUAACUUAAUUAGAAACUUGUGUCUCGUUUUAAAAUAGAUUAAAGUGUAAAAUAUUUGAAAAGUAUAUAUACCGUGCGAUAUUAAACUAUUAUUAUAUUAAAAAUGUAUUAUCGUUCAUUUAAUAAUAAUUAUAUUAUCAG